rnacentral:lncRNA from 1 species
CUAAUAGUAAGAGGAUUUUAACAUUGUUCACAGCACACCUGUCCCAGGGAGAUGUUGGUGUUCAUGGAUUUGUAAAGAAUUGACUUGUCUGCAGAUACUGAGUGUUCCUCCUCUUUGGGGUCUGCCUAAUUUCCUGAUUUUAUCUUGAUUGGGACCCACUUAGUCAGAUACUGUCCUUUGGAGUAAAACACUGAUGAGAUUAUCAACAGCA